GAUGAACGCUGGCGGCGUGCCUAACACAUGCAAGUCGAACGGGAAUCUUCGGAUUCUAGUGGCGGACGGGUGAGUAACGCGUAAGAAUCUAACUUCAGGACGGGGACAACAGUUGGAAACGACUGCUAAUACCCGAUAUGCCGCAAGGUGAAACCUAAUUGGCCUGGAGAAGAGCUUGCGUCUGAUUAGCUAGUUGGUGGGGUAAGAGCCUACCAAGGCGACGAUCAGUAGCUGGUCUGAGAGGAUGAGCAGCCACACUGGGACUGAGACACGGCCCAGACUCCUACGGGAGGCAGCAGUGGGGAAUUUUUCCGCAAUGGGCGAAAGCCUGACGGAGCAACGCCGCGUGAGGGAGGAAGGUCUUUGGAUUGUAAACCUCUUUUCUCAAGGAAGACACAGGACGGUACUUGAGGAAUAAGCAUCGGCUAACCCUGUGCCAGCAGCCGCGGUAAU
rnacentral:rRNA from 1 species